rfam:Oryzias latipes DNA, chromosome4, strain: Hd-rR.
CCCCGGUGAACAUUCAACGCUGUCGGUGAGUUUGAGCUAAAUUGAAGAAAACCAUCGACCGUUGACUGUACCCUGUGG